rnacentral:lncRNA from 1 species
GGAAGAUCUUCUGGCUCCUACACAUAGCAAUAGUGUAUAGUCCAGACAGGGCAUCAGUGCAUCAACCAGGCAAGCCAGAUGAGAUCUGAAUCACAGAGGGUCUAGGAUGCUGGCAAUCAGUCUACUCACACUGUUCCUGCUGUUUCCUAAUUCCUCAGCUUGUGUGGUAGAGAAGCAGAACUCAGCACUUGCACUCCUCACUUGGUACUCCAAAUGCAGGUCCCACAGGGGUCUUUCUGCAGCUAUAGUUUACAGAAACAUGUGCACAGUGCACAGUACGCAUCACUGUUGUCAGAGGUGACAA